AGUGCAAUGGCAUGAUCUCGGCUCACUGCAACUUCUGCCUCCCAGGUUCCAGCGAUUCUCCUGCCUCAGCCUUCCAAGUAUCUGGGACUACAGAUAUACAUCACCUGCCACCUGAAGGUCACCCUAGCUGAACAGGACCCAGAUGAACUCAACAAAGCCUGUUCCUUCAGCAAGCCUUCCAACAGCUGGUUCCCAGUGGAAGGCCCGGCUGACAUCUGUCAAUGCUGUAACAAAGGUGACUGUGGCACUCCAAGCCAUUCCAGGAGGCAGCCCCAUGUCGUGAGCCAGUGGUCCAGGUCUGCUUCCCGUAACCGCAGGCAUGUGACAGAAGAAGCAGAUGUCACCGUGGGGCCACUGAUCUUCCUGGACAGGAGUGGUGACUAUGAAGUAGAGCAGUGGGCCUUGCCUUCUGACACCUCAGUGGUGCUGCUGGGUAUAGGCCUGGCCGUGGUGGCAUCCCUGACUCUGACUGCUGUUAUCCUGGUUCUCACCAGGAGGUGUCGCACUGCCUCCCGCCCUGUGUCUGCUUCCGAAUAAAAGAAGAAAGCAAUA
rnacentral:sRNA from 1 species